AUUGAACGCUGGCGGCAUGCUUUACACAUGCAAGUCGAACGGUAACAGGCCUUCGGGUGCUGACGGGUGGCGAACGGGUGAGUAAUGCAUCGGAACGUGCCCAGAGGUGGGGGAUAACGCAGCGAAAGCUGUGCUAAUACCGCAUGCGAUCUGAGGAUGAAAGCGGGGGACCAAGCAGCAAUGUUUGGCCUCGCGCCUCUGGAGCGGCCGAUGUCAGAUUAGGUAGUUGGUGGGGUAAAGGCCUACCAAGCCGACGAUCUGUAGCUGGUCUGAGAGGACGACCAGCCACACUGGGACUGAGACACGGCCCAGACUCCUACGGGAGGCAGCAGUGGGGAAUUUUGGACAAUGGGCGCAAGCCUGAUCCAGCAAUGCCGCGUGCGGGAAGAAGGCCUUCGGGUUGUAAAACGCUUUUGUACGGAACGAAAAGGCUCUGGCUAAUACCUGGGGCUGAUGACGGUACCGUAAGAAUAAGCACCGGCUAACUACGUG
rnacentral:rRNA from 1 species